AUGAAGAUCGGGAAGGCUCCUGAGCUCUUGAAGAAGGCGGCAGCAAUGUGCAAGAGCAAGACCGCAAGGCUCCUCAUCCUUGCCUCGCUCCAGCGCCGUGGGAUGGCUAGAACAGCCGUGGUCUCUCGCAAGAUCGACGCGCUUAUUGUGGCCGACUGGGAGAGAGUGGACCGCCACAAGGCUCUCGCGCUGCGCACAAUGGAGAAGAGACCAAUCAUCGUCCAUGAGAGUGACUUUGAGGCCAAUUUCUCUCAUCACUUGGCGGUGUUCAACCAAGAGAAUGGUCAUGGUGGCUGCCCAGCUGAGUGGACACUGCAUCCCCUCUUCAACAACGACCACGACAACUGCCGUUACACUAAGGAUGAUGAUGUGCUAAUUCAUGUGAUCAAGACAACGAUGAUGAGCCAUCUGUCGUGGAUGUGA
rnacentral:rRNA from 1 species